CAUGGUUGGUCGUGUUUACAUACGCCUGACAGUCGCGCGGAGGCCCUUUAAACUCAUUAACAUAUGCAAAUAAGCCGGUAAAGAAAAGAUGGCGGACACGUAAACAACCACGAACGCGCCGUAGUUUUACCUUCCUAAAGCAAUUUAGAAAGUUUGGAAAGAUUGUUACAGUAUGGGGACUUAGCAGACAUUCAGGGAAAACCUAUUCAAACGGAAAAUGUUGUUGGUUGGACUGGAAACUCGCUUAAAAUGCGGAGUCAUGAUGUCAACUCCAUCAACGCCCCAAAAGAGGCCACAUGUUGGCGGGAGUGGUCACACCCCGUCUGGGAAGAGGAGGCAGCACAAACAUGGAAAGAAAGAUGGAGGAGCUCGCCGACCUCUCUCUUUCCUAAGUCCUAAGAUAACACGAUCUUUGGGGCACAUGCUCACCCCAAAGAUUCAACUGGCCAAGUCCCCUCGGA